UCGUGUAAUUCCAUUCGUCAACUUAGCGAUCGAUCGCCAACCCACGAUCGGUCUCCAAAGAGACUGUUCAAAUUUCAAAAAUGUGCUUUGGCAUUUCAUAUUCUAACCCUAUUUUUUUUUUUUUAUCAAUUUUCUUUCUCUCUCCUCUCUCUCUCCUCCUUUUUCUUUUUCUUUCUUUCUUUCUUUCUUUCUUCUUCUUCUUCUUCUUCUUCUUUUUUUUUUUUUUUUUUUUUUUUUUUUUUUUUUUCACUUUCUCUGUCUCCCCCUUCGGUUUCUCUCAUUUCCAUCUCUUCUCCUCUCAACCCCGAAGCAAGCCCCCUCCCAUCAAUCCCUUACCACACAAUCCUCACCCAAUCUCUCUGUCAAACACCCGUCACCACUGAACCGAAGCUUCCCUUCGCCUUCACCGUAUCUCCAUUUUUUCCUGCAGUGAGCUCUUGGCCAAAGGCCGAGCUCCUUCUUCCUCUCUUCUCCCGGUUUUUGCUCUCCAAUCUCGCAGCGUUCUCUUCCUUUCUCUGGAUGAUUUAGGCCAAGGAGAAAUUCUGGUGACCUUCCACUUUUCCGGCGACAUUCCGGUCUCCCCCUCUCUGUUUUUUAUUCUCUCUUGCGGAUGCAGUGGAAGAAGACAAUUGCUAAAAAGAGAGUCACUAGGCCUCGACAACCACCUCCUUCUCCACAAGAGGAAUCUUCUCCUAUAGAGUCUGAGAGAUCAGGAGUCGGAGCACACUUUUGAUAUUGAUUUCUUUACCCGGUCUGAGCAGACCAAAUGGGCUUUUGAUAAGAUAACCUGGUAGGGUAUUGCUACUAUUCUUACGCUGAGCAGCGACAUGGUGUAUCCUCGAUUGGUUGCAUUAUUCUACCAGCACCUCCGACGGGGUCAGGUUGAUCCAUAGAUUCUUCAUACUGCCAUAGAUGGGCAGGACAUUAUCAUUUUUACUGUCUCCAUAGAGAUAGCCUGCAGAUGCCCCUACAUGUCUUCGGUAGUGACUAAGUCGGGUAGGCAUUAUACCCGAUUAUCACAGAGUAUCCUUCAGAUAUGGAUAUUGGUGCUUAUCUUUCUCCUCAGACGGCCUAUGUAGGCAACCCUUAUGCUAAGCGGGAGGAUAUCCCAUCCAGGUUAUGGUUUAUUAACACUAUGUUGUUCUGCAAUGUCUUUCCAUCUAGGCAUAAUACUUAGAGGCGACAAGAGAUUUUGAAGGCCCUGUACAGUUUUAACCAGGGAUGUUAGGUUUCGAUUCCUGCUCUUAUCUGGGAGAUUAUCCAUAAGUAUUGGGAUAAUCUAGUGUUUAGAUGAAAUGAUAAAGCCAAGUCCUGGUCCCUACCCUUUGCCACUUGGUCACAUAGAUUCUAGAGGGCCAGGGCUUUCCAUUUGACCCAGAGGAGGAGACAGAACCGGCCAUUAAGAAGAAUAAAAGGAAGUAUGGUGCGACUCAGUGGAAGAAAAACUACAAUGCCUGUCAGACCAGUCUCAGAUUAGAUGAGAAGAUAAGGCUCGAGACUGCAUAUUCUCAGAAGGAUAUCAGGAGGGAUCACCUACCUCUUCCAGACCCAAAUCUAGACAGCUAGCGCACCACUUCCAGCAUAUCUCAGCCUCCCAUAGCUUUCGAGUUCCUGAUCGGCACUUCUUCAGUUCCACCUUCACCUAUAGCACCUCCGACAGGCCUAUCCUCUCAGUAUGCCAGCUCUGAUUCCAAUCUCCAUGGCGAUGUUACUCAGUUUCAGUCUAAGCUUAGAUCAUUCGAUGCUCAGAUGGUUCAGCGAGUGACCGAUAUUAAAAGAGGUAUCACCGAUGCGAGGAGGGAUAUUGCAUUACUUAGGACUGAUGGUGCAUAGAUCUGUAUUGAUAUGACCAGCUUCCGCGGUGAGGUCAUCGAUAUGUUUCAGCACAUCAUGGAUCUGCUUGAGGCCCUGAAUGUUGUUCCAUGAUUACUCCACAUUUUCUCCCACUUAUUUACCUACUCUGAUAGUAUCUGAUACUGUUUGAUACUUAAUUGCUAUUUUUGGGGAUUUAUACUAUUUGAUAUAUUCUACUUGGUGUUUGAUCAUUAUUUUGGAUUUUUAGUUUUGGAUUUACUUUCAGAUAUUGAUUAUUGGUUUUUGGAUAUUGAUAUAUUUUGACUUGAGUUUUGGA